rnacentral:rRNA from 1 species
CACUAUCGUUAACUGAAUACAUAGGUUAACGAGGCGAACCGGGGGAACUGAAACAUCUAAGUACCCCGAGGAAAAGAAAUCAACCGAGAUUCCCCCAGUAGCGGCGAGCGAACGGGGAGCAGCCCAGAGUCUGAAUCAGCUUGUGUGUUAGUGGAACGGUCUGGAAAGUCCGACGGUACAGGGUGAUAGUCCCGUACACCAAAAUGCACAGGUUGUGAACUCGAAGAGUAGGGCGGGACACGUGGUAUCCUGUCUGAAUAUGGGGGGACCAUCCUCCAAGGCUAAAUACUCCUGACUGACCGAUAGUGAACCAGUACCGUGAGGGAAAGGCGAAAAGAACCCCGGCGAGGGGAGUGAAAAAGAACCUGAAACCGUGUACGUACAAGCAGUGGGAGCACCUUCGGGUGUGACUGCGUACCUUUUGUAUAAUGGGUCAGCGACUUAUAUUCUGUAGCAAGGUUAACCGUAUAGGGGAGCCGCAGGGAAACCGAGUCUUAACUGGGCGUUAAGUUGCAGGGUAUAGACCCGAAACCCGGUGAUCUAGCCAUGGGCAGGUUGAAGGUUGGGUAACACUAACUGGAGGACCGAACCGACUAAUGUUGAAAAAUUAGCGGAUGACUUGUGGCUGGGGGUGAAAGGCCAAUCAAACCGGGAGAUAGCUGGUUCUCCCCGAAAGCUAUUUAGGUAGCGCCUCGUGAAUUCAUCUUCGGGGGUAGAGCACUGUUUCGGCUAGGGGGUCAUCCCGACUUACCAACCCGAUGCAAACUACGAAUACCGAAGAAUGUUAUCACGGGAGACACACGGCGGGUGCUAACGUCCGUCGUGAAGAGGGAAACAACCCAGACCGCCAGCUAAGGUCCCAAAGUCAUGGUUAAGUGGGAAACGAUGUGGGAAGGCACAGACAGCCAGGAUGUUGGCUUAGAAGCAGCCAUCAUUUAAAGAAAGCGUAAUAGCUCACUGGUCGAGUCGGCCUGCGCGGAAGAUGUAACGGGGCUAAACCAUGCACCGAAGCUGCGGCAGCGACACUAUGUGUUGUUGGGUAGGGGAGCGUUCUGUAAGCCUGCGAAGGUGACCUGUGAGGGUUGCUGGAGGUAUCAGAAGUGCGAAUGCUGACAUAAGUAACGAUAAAGCGGGUGAAAAGCCCGCUCGCCGGAAGACCAAGGGUUCCUGUCCAACGUUAAUCGGGGCAGGGUGAGUCGACCCCUAAGGCGAGGCCGAAAGGCGUAGUCGAUGGGAAACAGGUUAAUAUUCCUGUACUUGGUGUUACUGCGAAGGGGGGACGGAGAAGGCUAUGUUAGCCGGGCGACGGUUGUCCCGGUUUAAGCAUGUAGGCUGGUUGUCCAGGCAAAUCCGGAUAAUCAAGGCUGAGGUGUGAUGACGAGGCACUACGGUGCUGAAGUAACAAAUGCCCUGCUUCCAGGAAAAGCCUCUAAGCAUCAGGUAACAUCAAAUCGUACCCCAAACCGACACAGGUGGUCAGGUAGAGAAUACCAAGGCGCUUGAGAGAACUCGGGUGAAGGAACUAGGCAAAAUGGUGCCGUAACUUCGGGAGAAGGCACGCUGGUGUGUAGGUGAAGUCCCUGCGGAUGGAGCUGAGACCAGUCGAAGAUACCAGCUGGCUGCAACUGUUUAUUAAAAACACAGCACUGUGCAAACACGAAAGUGGACGUAUACGGUGUGACGCCUGCCCGGUGCCGGAAGGUUAAUUGAUGGGGUUAUCCGUAAGGAGAAGCUCUUGAUCGAAGCCCCGGUAAACGGCGGCCGUAACUAUAACGGUCCUAAGGUAGCGAAAUUCCUUGUCGGGUAAGUUCCGACCUGCACGAAUGGCGUAAUGAUGGCCAGGCUGUCUCCACCCGAGACUCAGUGAAAUUGAACUCGCUGUGAAGAUGCAGUGUACCCGCGGCAAGACGGAAAGACCCCGUGAACCUUUACUAUAGCUUGACACUGAACAUUGAGCCUUGAUGUGUAGGAUAGGUGGGAGGCUUUGAAGCGUGGACGCCAGUCUGCGUGGAGCCAACCUUGAAAUACCACCCUUUAAUGUUUGAUGUUCUAACGUUGGCCCCUUACCGGGGUUGCGGACAGUGUCUGGUGGGUAGUUUGACUGGGGCGGUCUCCUCCCAAAGCGUAACGGAGGAGCACGAAGGUUAGCUAAUCCUGGUCGGACAUCAGGAGGUUAGUGCAAUGGCAUAAGCUAGCUUGACUGCGAGCGUGACGGCGCGAGCAGGUGCGAAAGCAGGUCAUAGUGAUCCGGUGGUUCUGAAUGGAAGGGCCAUCGCUCAACGGAUAAAAGGUACUCCGGGGAUAACAGGCUGAUACCGCCCAAGAGUUCAUAUCGACGGCGGUGUUUGGCACCUCGAUGUCGGCUCAUCACAUCCUGGGGCUGAAGUAGGUCCCAAGGGUAUGGCUGUUCGCCAUUUAAAGUGGUACGCGAGCUGGGUUUAGAACGUCGUGAGACAGUUCGGUCCCUAUCUGCCGUGGGCGCUGGAGAAUUGAGGGGGGCUGCUCCUAGUACGAGAGGACCGGAGUGGACGCAUCACUGGUGUUCGGGUUGUCAUGCCAAUGGCACUGCCCGGUAGCUAAAUGCGGAAGAGAUAAGUGCUGAAAGCAUCUAAGCACGAAACUUGCCCCGAGAUGAGUUCUCCCUGAGACUUUAAGUCUCCUGAAGGAACGUUAAAGACGAUGACGUUGAUAGGCCGGGUGUGUAAGCGCAGCGAUGCGUUGAGCUAACCGGUACUAAUGAACCGUGAGGCUUAACCUU